CGGGGCGUAGCGCAGCCUGGUAGCGCGCCUGCUUUGGGAGCAGGAUGUCGCAGGUUCGAAUCCUGCCGCCCCGA
rnacentral:tRNA from 2 species